rnacentral:rRNA from 1 species
CCUACGGGAUGCACCAGUGGGGAAUAUUGGACAAUGGGCGAAAGCCUGAUCCAGCAAUGCCGCGUGUGUGAAGAAGGUCUUCGGAUUGUAAGGUACUUUCAGCGGGGAGGAAGGCGAUAAGGUUAAUAACCUUGUCGAUUGACGUUACCCGCAGAAGAAGCACCGGCUAACUCCGUGCCAGCAGCCGCGGUAAUACGGAGGGUGCAAGCGUUAAUCGGAAUUACUGGGCGUAAAGCGCACGCAGGCGGUCUGUCAAGUCGGAUGUGAAAUCCCCGGGCUCAACCUGGGAACUGCAUUCGAAACUGGCGGGCUAGAGUCUUGUAGAGGGGGGUAGAAUUCCAGGUGUAGCGGUGAUAUGCGUAGAGAUCUGGAGGAAUACCGGUGGCGAAGGCGGCCCCCUGGACAAAGACUGACGCUCAGGUGCGAAAGCGUGGGGAGCAAACAGGAUUAGAUACCCUCGUAGUC